GAUGAACGCUGGCGGCGUGCCUAAUACAUGCAAGUCGGGCGAACGGACGAGAAGCUUGCUUCUCUGAUGUUAGCGGCGGACGGGUGAGUAACACGUGGAUAACCUACCUAUAAGACUGGGAUAACUUCGGGAAACCGUAGCUAAUACCGGAUAAUAUUUUGAACCGCAUGGUUCAAAAGUGAAAGACGGUCUUGCUGUCACUUAUAGAUGGAUCCGCGCUGCAUUAGCCAGUUGGUAAGGUAACGGCUUACCAAGGCAACGAUGCAUAGCCGACCUGAGAGGGUGAUCGGCCACACUGGAACUGAGACACGGUCCAGACUCCUACGGGAGGCAGCAGUAGGGAAUCUUCCGCAAUGGGCGAAAGCCUGACGGAGCAACGCCGCGUGAGUGAUGAAGGUCUUCGGAUCGUAAAACUCUGUUAUUAGGGAAGAACAUAUGUGUAAGUAACUGUGCACAUCUUGACGGUACCUAAUCAGAAAGCCACGGCUAACUACGUG
rnacentral:rRNA from 1 species